rnacentral:lncRNA from 1 species
CACACAGUGGCAGGGUGUUCCGCCGGUUGAUGUGGUCGUCCGCCGGAGUUCUCCAUUGUGCAGGUUAAAAUGAUUCCAGCUGGUCUCAGCAGAGAACUGACCCAGAAGUUGUGACAUAGGAAGAUGCAAGAUGCAAGAGCCACCUUGUAACCAGGAGGAAAAGGCCCAAAAGAAUCACAGGCCAUAGGCUUGAGGCACUAACUCAAGGAAAGGGAAAGAGAGGAAGGCAGCAAAGCACCACGGAGCGUUUCCCCAACGUGGAAAUAAAAAGUUCCACCAACCAAAGAGUCUUCUCCUUCCUCCACCGAACAUGUCACCAGCCGCACCAGGAUCUGAGACGGAAGCUGCACGCUGAAGCUCUCGGGCGAUCUACUCCUCCGUUAUGAAUGGAAGGCACCAGCCACCUUUCUACUUGUCUUCUGAGAGGUUUUAUUCACCCGGGGCUAUAAGAGGAGAGGAACUCCCAGGCUGUUGUAAACCCCAGUGCUGCUGGGCACAGCAA